UAUUCGGAUCUUAACCCGGAAUCUGGUUCUCUCUACUCCAUAAUCGGUUUCCUGUACCCUUCAGUUUCACACUCUCACCGCUCCGAUAAUUUCACCGGACUCAUUGUAGAUAUGGAGACAAAUUCUCGGUCAACAUUCCGCUCAUUCUUUCAAGCCAGAACAUAUGAAAUGAAAUCACAUUCCAGCAGCCCCUCCCCUUCAGGAGACCAUGCGCACCUCCUCUUCUGCCGCCUACCCCUCGAUACCGACUCACGGCUCAGCUUUCGCUUCGAGAAAUCGAACUGCGUUCAAUCAAGAACCGCACCGACUUCGAUGAAUGGUUCUCGCGGCUGUGCAGGUUGAGGCAUGUGGAAGUGUGGGGAAAAGCGCGAGACGCCAUUGCUUUAACUUGUGAGACUGAACCAGAGGGAGCAAGAGAGAGAGAGAGAGAGAGAGAGUGAGACAGAGGUUGGAGACGCAGAUUUUGUCGCUUUUGUUUCUUUUUGUUUGGAAACGGAGAGACGGAUGUUUAGAUUUGCAGAGCGUAUGCACGUGUACUG